GACGAACGCUGGCGGUGUGCUUAACACAUGCAAGUCGAACGAAGUGGCGAACGGGUGAGUAAUACGUGGGUAACCUGCCCUCCUUUUUUGGAUACGCCUAGGAAACGGGGUCUACUACCGAAUAAAGGGGGAUGGGGUCGCGGCCUUUAGGCUUGUUGGUGGGGUGAUGGCCUACCAAGGCGGUGACGGGUACCCGGACUGAGAGGGUGACCGGCAACAUAGGGACGGGGAUACGGCCCAGGCGAGUACGGGGGGAGGCAGUGGGGGAUAUUGCACAAUGGGCGAAAGCCUGAUGCAGCGACGCUGCGUGGGGGAUGAAGGCUUUCGGGUUGUAAACCUGUUUCGCUAGCGAACGGGUAGGUGGAGAAGAAGCGCCGGCUAACUACGUGCCAGCAGCCGCGGUAAUAC
rnacentral:rRNA from 1 species